ACGCUGGCGGCAGGCUUAACACAUGCAAGUCGAACGGUAACAGGAAUUAGCUUGCUAAUUUGCUGACGAGUGGCGGACGGGUGAGUAAUGCUUGGGAAUCUGGCUUAUGGAGGGGGAUAACUACGGGAAACUGUAGCUAAUACCGCGUAAAAUCUUCGGAUUAAAGGGUGGGACUUUCGAGCCACCUGCCAUAAGAUGAGCCCAAGUGGGAUUAGGUAGUUGGUUAGGUAAAGGCUGACCAAGCCGACGAUCUCUAGCUGGUCUGAGAGGAUGACCAGCCACACUGGAACUGAGACACGGUCCAGACUCCUACGGGAGGCAGCAGUGGGGAAUAUUGCACAAUGGGGGGAACCCUGAUGCAGCCAUGCCGCGUGAAUGAAGAAGGCCUUCGGGUUGUAAAGUUCUUUCGGUGACGAGGAAGGUUGAUAGGUUAAUAGCCUAUCAAAUUGACGUUAAUCACAGAAGAAGCACCGGCUAACUCCGUGCCAGCAGCCGCGGUAAUACGGGGGGUGCGAGCGUUAAUCGGAAUAACUGGGCGUAAAGGGCACGCAGGCGGUGACUUAAGUGAGAUGUGAAAGCCCCGAGCUUAACUUGGGAAUUGCAUUUCAUACUGGGUCGCUAGAGUACUUUAGGGAGGGGUAGAACUCCACGUGUAGCGGUGAAAUGCGUAGAGAUGUGGAGGAAUACCGAAGGCGAAGGCAGCCCCUUGGGAAUGUACUGACGCUCAUGUGCGAAAGCGUGGGGAGCAAACAGGAUUAGAUACCCUGGUAGUCCACGCUGUAAACGAUGUCGAUUUGGGGAUUGGGCUUUGAGCUUGGUGCCCGUAGCUAACGUGAUAAAUCGACCGCCUGGGGAGUACGGCCGCAAGGUUAAAACUCAAAUGAAUUGACGGGGGCCCGCACAAGCGGUGGAGCAUGU
rnacentral:rRNA from 1 species